rnacentral:rRNA from 1 species
GACAGAGGGUGCAAACGUUUGUUCGGAAUCACUGGGCGUAAAGCGUGUGUAGGCGGCUGCGCAAGUCGGAUGUGAAAGCCCCGGGCUCAACCCGGGAAGUGCACCCGAUACUGCGUAGCUAGAGUCUCGGAGAGGUUGGUGGAAUUCUCGGUGUAGAGGUGAAAUUCGUAGAUAUCGAGAGGAACACCGGUGGCGAAGGCGGCCAACUGGACGAAGACUGACGCUGGAGACACGAAAGCGUGGGGAGCAAACAGG